UGCCAUUGGAAUAUUUUGAGUGUAUGCUUUUAAUUAAAUUAUGUAUUUUUUGAAAUUCCUUUUAUUUAAACAACAUUUAAACAACACCUACGCUAAAUUAACUACCGAAUGUAUCAUCCAUUACAUAUCAAAGUAACAGCUACAUAUAAAAAAUUAAUUACAUAUCAAAGGAACAAUUACGUUUAAAAAAAAACUCCAAUUGCUAUGACACACUGAUUUACAUUUCUUAGACAGUACCUUUACCAAAUCUUUGAAUAUUGAUAAUUUGAUACUGAUGUUCAUAAUAAAAAACAGAAGCUUCAACAAUUGUUGGAUUCUGCAAGUAUUUCAUAAUAAAAAACAGAGCGUUUAUGUUCAUAUCAGUGUAUCCACCUUUCAUCACUUCCAAUCAAUGUUUUGGCUACACUCGACCAAAUUAUUGAAUGUACAAAACUUUUUCAAAUCAAUAACAAAAAAAAUAUGAACCACUAACGCAAAAACUAAAAAAUUUGGCAAAAUAAACUAAAUUUUCGGAAGUUCCAUAAAUAACCAUAUCCAAUAUACCAAAUCAUAAAUACCAAUCAUUUUUAAAAUCAAUAACCAUAAAUAUCUAUACCGUUAAAUAAUAAUCUAAAACUUAAGCAGAUGAACUAAAUUUCCGGAAGUUGCUUAACUAACAAUUGCGAAUGUACUAAAUAAUAAAUACCUGGUCGUUCAUUAUAUUUCAUAUCUUUAAAAUAUCAAUAACAAACAACAAAACAAGAAACCGCGGAAUUUGGUAAUUUAUAUCUAUAUAUAAUAAAUCCAAAAAUCUAUUUUUCUAUAACUUGAAUAAGCUUGAUUCACAAGAUAUAUGAUUUACUAAACUCACGCUUUAUAUUCUCUAAGAGUAUAAAUUGGAAUAUCCUAAAUCCGCGACCUUUUUUUUUGCUAUAUAUACAUCACAUUAACCUCAAAGCAAACGUGCAGAUUUCAAAAUGUUUCUCUUUUUUUUUUUGAAACACAAACGUUUCUUAUAUAAUGUCUUCUAAGAAAAAGAUGGUGUACCUUGAUACGAUUAGGCCAUGGGAAACAACUUGAUUGAUCGAAGCCAAAGUAAGUGAAAGUAAUCCACACCUGGAAGCAAACAAAUCCGUCUUAGAUCAUUUUCACUGACAAGAAGGUUUGAGGUUUUUGUGAUUAAGGUUAGAGUCACAUUAAUAAAGUUCUGCCACUAUUCUCUGCCACUGCAAGACCUGCACAUGAAUCGUAAACAUUAAUAAGGCAACAAAUAAAAUUCUAGAACAUCCUAGAAAUUAACUAGGGUAUAAGACAACUCAAUAACCCUUUAGUCCGAGACUUAUCUGUGUACUGUAAGGAUUUGGUUCGACUGUGCCUCAUGUCCUUCAGCAUCAUACAGUGUAUUUUCUUCUGAAAAAUUAAGAAAAAAAAAAUCUAUUAUACAGAGUGAAAGAGCUACAUAUAUAAUCUUAAUAUCGUCAAACAUGCAAAACAUUUAGAAAAACAUUAUAAAGAGUUAGAUAUGGGAGAUAUACCUGCCCUUGAUCGGUGAUUGUUUAGAACCAGAAAGAAAUCACCAUUGCGACAUUCAAAAUUUCAAAGAAAAUGUAAUAGGAAAAUCUGGAUCGAGGUCUCCAAGCUUGGUUUGUAUUGAGAGACAGGAAUAAACAGAUCUAUCAUCGGAUCAUACAUGCAACAUUAUCUGAACCGAUCAGAGAGAGAAAGACACUUGAAGAGAAUUUUCCAGAGUUGUUAACUUUUUUGAUAACGUAACUUGGUUGUUUCAUUCCUGGAAAAUUUAGUGUGUAUUUUGGCUUUGUUUACAAUGUUUAUGUUGGGCCAUUUUUAGUGUGUUUAUGGGUUAAGAAUUUUAAAAUUAAAUAGUUUAGUUCAGCUCUUUUUGAAAAUAUCAUAUUAACUUUUGAUAUAAAAAAAAUAUAAACAUAAUGUUAUAUUUUGCACAGAUUUAUAUUUAUAAUUUUUUUGGUAAAAACAACACAAAACAAAAUAUAAUAUAUGUCUUAAAUUUUCACGAAUUGAAACUAUUUUUUAAAAAAUUGCCAAAAAGGAUACAUUAGAAAAAACAAUUCUACAAAUCUAUAAUAUUAAAUUACCCAAAAAUAUUCCAAGUAAUUUAUAAGUUUCGUUAACCGAAAAAAUGUAACUCUUAUAAAAUGCUCACCAAAUAUAAUGAGAAAAAUAGGUUUAUUCAGGUCUUUGGAUCGGACACAAAUCGAUGUCUUUCGAGUCUGAUUUCUUCGGAUCCUAGACAUUUGAAUCCAACUAGGUUUUGAAGAAAAUUUGGUUUGGGUUUAAGUUGGUUCCUUUUGGAUCCGGGUCAGUUCAAAUCUAUAAUUCAAGUACCUGUAAAUUAUAUAUAAUUUGGAUACAUAAUGAAUUAGAUCUAUUCGGAUAUCCGGAAUAAAAAAUACUCAAACUAAGACGAAAAAGCCAAAAUACGAAAAAUAAAAUCAAAUAAAUACUCAAAAUAUUUAAAUAUUCAAAAAACCCAAAAUUUUACUCGAAUCUUACUCGAUCGACCAAAUAUAUCCAAAAAGUAUUCGAUUACCUGAAAUACGUUUUUAAAAUUUUGAAAUUUUACCUGAAACUCAAAACUAUAACCGAAAAUGUUAACUUAAAACCUAAAAAAUUAUCCACAGGCCAAAAAAAACAAAGGACCCACAGGCCCAAAAAAUCCAACAGGUACUUUGCCAUGAUCCUUGGACCAAAACCUGUAUUUCGUGUUAGUUUCUCAGCGUUCUUUUGUAUCUAGGUAAAACGCUCAUACGUAAGAGAGAGUUGCAAAAGAGUGUACAUAUAAAAUCUCAAAUAAACUGAUUCAUAUAUCAUAUAUUUUUAUACAAAUAUCCUUAUUCGAUAUACUACAACUUUAUAACACAAUAAUAUACAAUAAACACAAAAUACUAAUUUAUAUUCAAUUUUGUUUAUAACCCAAAA